CCUACGGUAGGCAGCAGUGAGGAAUAUUGGUCAAUGGGCGGAAGCCUGAACCAUCCAAGUAGCGUGCGGGAUGAAGGCCCUACGGGUCGUAAACCGCUUUUGCACGGGGAUAACACCCUCCACUUGUGGAGGUCUGCAGGUACCGUGCGAAUAAGGGCCGGCUAAUUCCGUGCCAGCAGCGGCGGUAAUACGGAAGGCCCGAGCGUUAUCCGGAUUCAUUGGGCUUAAAGGGAGCGUAGGCGGGCGUUCAAGUCAGCUGUAAAAUCGCGUGGCUCAACCGCGCCCCGCAGUUGAAACUGGACGCCUUGAGUUCACAACAGGCAGGCGGAAUUCGUGGUGUAGCGGUGAAAUGCAUAGAUAUCACGAGGAACCCCGAUUGCGAAGGCAGCCUGCCGGGGUGCGACUGACGCUGAGGCUCGAAGGUGCGGGUAUCAAACAGGAUUAGAUAUCCUAGUAGUC
rnacentral:rRNA from 1 species